rnacentral:rRNA from 1 species
UACGUAGGGCGCAAGCGUUGUCCGGAAUUAUUGGGCGUAAAGAGCGUGUAGGCGCCAGACAGGUCCGUUGUGAAAACUCGAGGCUCAACCUCGAGAUGUCGAUGGAAACCGUCUGGCUAGAGUCCGGAAGAGGAGUGUGGAAUUCCUGGUGUAGCGGUGAAAUGCGCAGAUAUCAGGAGGAACACCGGUGGCGAAGGCGGGUCUCUGGGCCGAUACUGACGCUGAGGAGCGAAAGCGUGGGGAGCGAACAGG